rnacentral:lncRNA from 1 species
AUUCCUACUGUGAUAUCACAAUCAAUCUGACAUGGAACCUUAAUGGGAAGCUCGGCUGCUCUGCAGGUCAAUGCUGCUGAGGACCAAAAGCAUCACAUGGGCCACGUGAGGUUCAGCUGUCUAGCAAUGCCUAACCCUGUGAGCGGGGUGGGACUGCAGAUAGCAGGGAUUGAUCCGGGGUUCCCAGACACAGCAGUGACUGUGGACAUUAUGCAGGUGUCCUGUAGAAAUAAAUGCUGUCUUCUGGAACCACAGCCUUCAGCUGGACGGGCCCCUCCAGAUCCUGAUUCCCAGGAGGGAAUCUUGACAGAAAAGGAUCACCAGGGGACAUGUCUGCUAUCUGCUUAAGUGAUAGUGUAUGCAGCAGACUCACCACAGACCAGAUGAUCUCCAUGUAUCUAGAUAUGAUGGCGAACCUAACCCCAAGAGGACCACGAGGUGUGUCAGGUGCCUAGAGAAGAGAAGAUGGUCCCCUUAACUGUGAAGGUUAUGAUGAAAUUUUGUCGGUCAGGAAUUAAGAGAUGAUGGAUCACUACCUACUACGGUAGUGAACAAGGGAUUUUGCAAGUCACCAGGUAAGAGAUGAUGGUGUCUCUAAAAAUGUAAUCAUGUGAUUUUGCAGGUACGCAAUGAAGGAAUAAUGUGUUACUGAAAAUGGUAGUACCAAGGUAUUUAUUAGUUACCCAGGAAGGAAAUCAUGUGUCCUUAUGGCAUUUAAUUUGGGUAAUUUGUGGGUCUCCAGGUCUGGUAGGUAUUUCUAUAUCUGAUUGAUCUCAUGGGCUUCUGUACGUAUCCACAUGAGAGAUGAUGUAUCACAACUUGUAACCAAGUGCCAAGGUAUUUUACAGGUAUUUCACUUAGAGCUCUGGUGAAUAUAAGUUUUUGAAGAUAUCCAGCAGGAAAUGAUGUUGGCCUAAACCAUGAUAAUGCCCACGAGUUGUGCCCAUAUCUUG